ACUACACAUGCUAAUGCAGUCUCAUGAGCAAGACCUUUGCCUCUGUAACUUUUUCUUAAUUCUUUAAUUUUUAUUGCAGUAUUUUAAUUUGUACAGAUGAUCUCAUCAGCCAAAUGAGGGGUUUUGACCAAGUGAUGCUCUUGAAAGGAGUGAAAGAAGAGGAUGUGCUAAAUUCUCUUCAGAGAAAAAGCUUCUCAAAAGGUCUCAAAACAGCUUGAAGAAUGGUCUGGGAUGUUAGGACUGAGAGAUCCUCUGGCUGAGAACAAGCUACACCACAUCAGUGCUGGAUAUCAACCACAAACUGUUUCCAGACACGAGAGAAGAAGAACACGAUGGGGAGAUGAAACCAGUUUAGAUGUGAUGAUGGGAAUCAUUAUUUUCUGGAACAGUAUCUCAUGUCUUAUAUAUAUAUCACAUGAUCUGUAUCACAGUUGACUGGAUGGGACUGUGUGACUUUUAAGGACAUUUCAUCACUCAUCUGUGUGAACUGAUUUAUAUAUGAGGUUAAUGUAUUUUUGAUGAUAAUUAUUUUCAUUGAAUCUUAUUUGUCUUGAUGCUACUUUAUCAACUUUAUAGUCUAUGCUUCAAUAAAAUGAAAAUGGUGAA